rnacentral:rRNA from 1 species
GACGAACGCUGGCGGCGUGCUUAACACAUGCAAGUCGAACGGAAAGGCCCUUCGGGGUACUCGAGUGGCGAACGGGUGAGUAACACGUGGGUGAUCUGCCCUGCACUUUGGGAUAAGCCUGGGAAACUGGGUCUAAUACCGAAUUGGACCGCAUGCUUCAUGGUGUGUGGUGGAAAGCUUUUGCGGUGUGGGAUGGGCCCGCGGCCUAUCAGCUUGUUGGUGGGGUAAUGGCCUACCAAGGCGACGACGGGUAGCCGGCCUGAGAGGGUGACCGGCCACACUGGGACUGAGAUACGGCCCAGACUCCUACGGGAGGCAGCAGUGGGGAAUAUUGCACAAUGGGCGCAAGCCUGAUGCAGCGACGCCGCGUGAGGGAUGACGGCCUUCGGGUUGUAAACCUCUUUCAGCAGGGACGAAGCGCAAGUGACGGUACCUGCAGAAGAAGGACCGGCCAACUACGUGCCAGCAGCCGCGGUAA